AAAAAUUACAAAAAGAAAAAUCUUGCUAGUGUUAGGGUUAGGGUUACAUGGAUAUGGGUUAUAUAUAUCACAUAUGCCGCUCUUGAAUACAUACUACUCUUCAGAAAUCAAGUUCUUCAUGGAUGCUACUGGAUCCGACUGUGGAAAAGCACGUCAAGUUAAGCGACCUUUGAUUCAGUAAGUUUUACAUGUACAUCAUGAUCAUAUGUAUACACAGUCCUUGACAUACAAGUGUAUUUGGUAAUUCUCGUAUAUAUACUUGGGAAUAUAUAGACAAGAUCAAUAAUUAAGUUUGCUAUCUGUUAGCUACCUAGCUAACCUCUGGAGGUGUUAAUAUGUAACAUUAAUUUAGUGGUUGUCACCAAUCAAAAGGUGAUUAAUUAUCAAACAUGUAUAGUUAUGUAGUCUUGUCAUUUUGUACGCCAAUCUCGGAUUGAGGAGUUCCUUGUUACAAGCAAGCAAGUAAAUCCAAGGCUAGCUAGCUAGAGUGCCAUAAUAAUUAGACUUUGAUGACAGGUAGAUUUUCUUGAUAAAUUUUGUAUUAUUGCUUGAUAAAGAUUAGAUGAAAGUUCUAAGAUGAAUUAUUUUACGAACGAAUCUAUGAAAUUAAAUUAAAGGAGAAGGAAAAUGGACCUAGCUAGUAUAUUGCCGAUCAAACAUAUAUACAAGCAGAUCCAAAAGAUCGAUAUAAAAGCCAUGUUUUGCCCUCUUCUGUGCUCUCUCAACAAAAUUUCUCAACUUUCUCUAAACAAAAUAACGUACUAACCAAUCUUCUAGAAUGUUGCAUGUUGCAAACCAACACUACAGUGUUAACAAACAUAUUCGAUUCCAAGUCAAAAUUGCUUCUUUCUGUCUCCAUCGAUCUAAACUGAUCGAAUUCAUUACAUAAACGUAAACAUUAUGGAAUCAAACAGCUCCUCAUCUCUUUGUUUGUUUGAAUAAAAGGCUGUGUUUAUUUAAGUAAGUUUAAUUUGACCCCUUUUGAGCACAUAUAUAUAUACACAAAGAUAUGUUGAUGUCUCAUGUCAAGACUCAAAGACUUGUUUGCAGUAUACAAAAAAUUGUCAUCAUUUAAUCAUUCUUUUUCAUUUUCUAUAUAUCUAAUCCAUUGGUGGAACAGAUCACGUACGCAUGAACACAAUUUAGUGUCUACAUGAUAUAUAUUUAAUUAGUAGAUCUAGUAGUGGCAAAUUAAUUAAGCUUAAUAAGGUUGAAUAUUUAGAUUCGCUUUCAGGCGACUAAACGCUUUAGUAGUUGGAUUUGCAGUCGAGUGUGCUUCUGACUUUAGAAACAAACAAUCCAUAGAGAGCUAGCUGUUUGGAACUCCUUUCACAUUUGAGCUUGAAUUGGAAUCUGCAACUGUAUAUAUCUAACGUAGUCAAGUAAUAAAUUAAGAAUUCGAAGCUAGAAAACCCAAUUCCAUUUUGUGUAAAUUCACUUAGUUUGUUAGGUAAUAAAUUAACAGCUUCGAUCUGCUUAUUAGGUACGUAGUUAUACUUGAUACUGCUGCUGUAUGUUAUGUACGUUUGAUCUUGGUAGCUAGGGUUAGUGAUCUGUAUUUAGAUAUUACUAGAAGAAGAACAACAACAACAACUACUAGAAAAUGGUCAUUUGCCUAACAUUAACUAAAACGGUUAGCUUACCACUUAGUCAAACGCUAGCUAAUUAAUCAGUCGAAUAUGUAGAUGUACGUUCAUGUUGUAUACAGUAUCUUUAUGCAGUUUUUCUUUCCUAAAUCUCAUCAUCAAUACAUUCAUAUAUGAUGCAACAGAUCAAGCAUCAUUUCCUUCAACAGGAUAAUUCACCAGGUCAUGAUUAUAUUCAUGUUUAAUUUGUUCGAUAAAAUGAUAGAUGACAGCGUGCGUAUAUUCAUAUUUUCGCAGUAAAACUUGCCCGACUGUUUGGUAAACACCAGUCGCAUGAUGCAUUGCAGAAAUGUCUGAUACAUGUGUACAUAGAGUUGAAGAAUAUAUAUAUAGAUUGAGACUGGUUGCUGUGUUUCUACCGUAAGAAAUAGUAUAAAACCCUAGCUAGCUAGCCAGUUAUCAGCUUAAACUCGUAAUUCCAACUCUAAAUUAACCCCUGAUUAACUCCAAGAUGAAUGUAGCUUAUUAAAUCGAGAAACCAAGAAACAAAACCAAAGAAAAUUGCUGCAUCAUUUAGUUACUCCGUAUGUCUUACUACUUGCACAUGACUGUUUGUACUGCCUAGACCUAACAAAUGGCUAUCCAUUGAGCAAAACUCCAAUGCCAUUGUUGUCACCAUGUAGUCAGAUACUCAGAUACUCAUAUAUCGCUUACUCCUCUUUUAACAUUUACAAAGGACAAUUGAAAUGUCAACAAUCUCAAGCUACGACGUCCUCUAUCAUUCUUCAUGGGUUUUAUUAUUAUCAUUUCCUUUUAGGAUUUGCUGCAUAUAUUAUGCUCCCUCUUUCAAAAGCCACACCACUCAAUAUAUUCCCGUCGAGAUCGAUCAUAUCAUACAUGCACAUUCUCAAUUAUUAACCCACCUUUUCCUAUUGGAAGCUGCUUGUUAAUUAUUGUUGCCUCACCUUAAUUUGAUCGAUAUUGUUUUUUCGUAUAUUGCAAACUCUUCGAGUCUAUUAUUUUGUUUUUCAUCAUGACCUCUCUGACACUUAGAUUGAUCGUAUAUGCUUCUUAUAUGACAUUUCUACAUCAACAAGAUCGUUCAUAUCAAUCUCUCACAGAUCACUUGGGCGUGGCAAAACAUCACGUACCAAAAUUAAUAUUGGCUAAAAUCAUGUUGUUUUCACAUGAUCAUUGACAGCAGCUACAAAAAUAAUCAAAACGAAUUUGAUCGGGAAGUCUAUAUGGAAUUUUAUGGGCUACUAGCUGGUUAUGAUAUUCUACACGCACACGCACACAAACAGAAACGUGUAAAAGGCAGCAUUAUUGUGGGGAAAACGUAGACUGUUCAAUCGUUUUAAUUUGAAGACUGAUUUGUAUUGCAGAUCGACCAUGCAUGCAAGUUAGGCACACCCAUAUGCAAAUAACAUCUCAAAUCUAAUUGAAAAAGAUAUGAUAUAUAUAUCACUCGUACUGUAGUACACGGAUCAAUUAAAUAUAAGUCCCUGACUAAAAUUAAAAAAAAGAAAGACAAAAAAGUUGUGUAGAUGAACUUCAUUUUGCUCCUUUAGAUUUGAUAUGCAUGCAUGCAUGGAUUCGAUCAUAACACCGAUCGCUUAAGAAAACAAUACAAUUGGUAUAGAAUAAUAUAAGCUUCAUAAUACCAAUAUAUCUCAAGCAUAUACCGUAAUGCUAUUCUAAGAACGUACUACAAAUUAUUAUUAACUACGUGAUGUUGGUAAAGUUCGUUGAUCGAGCGGCCUAAUAUGGAACUCUAUGUUUAGAGUUUGAAUUCAAAUUCGUAUGCU
rnacentral:lncRNA from 1 species